ACGAACGCUGGCGGCGUGCCUAAUACAUGCAAGUCGAACGGUCUUUCUAUGGAAGCUUGCUUCCACUGAGAAGAUAGUGGCGAACGGGUGAGUAACACGUGGGUAACCUGCCCAUAAGAGGGGGAUAACAUCCGGAAACGGGUGCUAAUACCGCAUAGUUUUCUUGAUCGCAUGAUUGAGAAAGGAAAGACGGCCUUUGUGCUGUCGCUUAUGGAUGGACCCGCGGCGUAUUAGUUAGUUGGUGAGGUAACGGCUCACCAAGACGAUGAUACGUAGCCGACCUGAGAGGGUGAUCGGCCACAUUGGGACUGAGACACGGCCCAAACUCCUACGGGAGGCAGCAGUAGGGAAUCUUCCGCAAUGGACGAAAGUCUGACGGAGCAACGCCGCGUGAGUGAAGAAAGGUUUUCGGAUCGUAAAACUCUGUUGUCAGAGAAGAACAAGUUGGAGAGUAACUGCUCCAGCCUUGACGGUAUCUGACCAGAAAGCCACGGCUAACUACGUGCCAGCCGCCGC
rnacentral:rRNA from 1 species